rnacentral:rRNA from 1 species
GCUCAGGAUGAACGCUGGCGGCGUGCCUAAUACAUGCAAGUCGAGCGAACGGAUAAGGAGCUUGCUCCUUUGAAGUUAGCGGCGGACGGGUGAGUAACACGUGGGUAACCUACCUAUAAGACUGGAAUAACUUCGGGAAACCGGAGCUAAUGCCGGAUAACAUUUGGAACCGCAUGGUUCUAAAGUAAAAGAUGGUUUUGCUAUCACUUAUAGAUGGACCCGCGCCGUAUUAGCUAGUUGGUAAGGUAACGGCUUACCAAGGCAACGAUACGUAGCCGACCUGAGAGGGUGAUCGGCCACACUGGAACUGAGACACGGUCCAGACUCCUACGGGAGGCAGCAGUAGGGAAUCUUCCGCAAUGGACGAAAGUCUGACGGAGCAACGCCGCGUGAGUGAUGAAGGUUUUCGGAUCGUAAAACUCUGUUAUUAGGGAAGAACAAAUGUGUAAGUAACUGUGCACAUCUUGACGGUACCUAAUCAGAAAGCCACGGCUAACUACGUGCCAGCAGCCGCGGUAAUACGUAGG